rnacentral:rRNA from 1 species
GAUUUGCUGACGAGUGGCGGACGGGUGAGUAAUGUCUGGGAAACUGCCUGAUGGAGGGGGAUAACUACUGGAAACGGUAGCUAAUACCGCAUAACGUCGCAAGACCAAAGAGGGGGACCUUCGGGCCUCUUGCCAUCGGAUGUGCCCAGAUGGGAUUAGCUAGUAGGUGGGGUAACGGCUCACCUAGGCGACGAUCCCUAGCUGGUCUGAGAGGAUGACCAGCCACACUGGAACUGAGACACGGUCCAGACUCCUACGGGAGGCAGCAGUGGGGAAUAUUGCACAAUGGGCGCAAGCCUGAUGCAGCCAUGCCGCGUGUAUGAAGAAGGCCUUCGGGUUGUAAAGUACUUUCAGCGGGGAGGAAGGGAGUAAAGUUAAUACCUUUGCUCAUUGACGUUACCCGCAGAAGAAGCACCGGCUAACUCCGUGCCAGCAGCCGCGGUAAUACGGAGGGUGCAAGCGUUAAUCGGAAUUACUGGGCGUAAAGCGCACGCAGGCGGUUUGUUAAGUCAGAUGUGAAAUCCCCGGGCUCAACCUGGGAACUGCAUCUGAUACUGGCAAGCUUGAGUCUCGUAGAGGGGGGUAGAAUUCCAGGUGUAGCGGUGAAAUGCGUAUAGAUCUGGAAGAAUACCGGUGGCGAAUGCGGCCCCCUGGACCAAGACUGACGCUCAGGUGCGAAAGCGUGGGGAGCAAACAGGAUUACAUACCCUGAUACUCCACGCCGUAACGAUGUCACUUGGAGGUUGUGCCCUUGAGGCGUGGCUUCGGGAGCUAUCGCGUAAGUCGACCGCUGGGAGUAC